UCUACGGGUGGCAGCAGUGAGGAAUAUUGGUCAAUGGCCGGAAGGCUGAACCAGCCAAGCCGCGUGAAGGACGAAGGUGCCAAGCAUUGUAAACUUCUUUUAUCAAGGGACAAAAUCAGGCUCGAGAGCCUGACCGAGGGUACUUGAAGAAAAAGCAUCGGCUAACUCCGUGCCAGCAGCCGCGGUAAUACGGAGGAUUCGAGCGUUAUCCGGAUUUAUUGGGUUUAAAGGGUGCGUAGGCGGACUGUUAAGUCAGUGGUGAAAGCCCGGGGCUCAACCCCGGCCGGGCGGUUGAACUUGGCUGUCUUGAGAGGUGGAGAGGUAGGCGGAAUGCGCAGUGUAGCGGUGAAAUGCUUAGAUAUUGCGCAGAACUCCGAUUGCGAAGGCAGCAUACUGGAGGCGAUCUGACGCUGAGGCACGAAAGCGUGGGUAUCGAACAGGAUUAGAUACCCGAGUAGUC
rnacentral:rRNA from 1 species